AUUGCCAUAUUUCCAGUUCCAGAUUGACAUAGUGGGAUUUGACAACAGCCAUCCUUCACUCCCUGACAGUGAAUGGUUGAAAGUAACAUGAUCAAUCAAGGAUGGGAAACUCCAAAACUGACUCAAGGAUUAGAAAAUGACGGCAUGGGAGAAGAGCAGACACUUGUGGGUGAUGACUGUCUUAGGGAAUCACUGGAGAAUCAACAUCCUGGUAGGAAAAGACCAUGCAGCCCCUAACAAUGGAAAGUCUAAAUUGUUUUUCUUCAGUUCCUGCCUCUACAGGCACCCUCAUGCCAAAAUAACUCAAUUCUUGGUUUACUGAUCAAAGUGAGAUCAUUUAGAACAUUUUAAUUUUUUUCUAAAUUUCUUCUCAUUUGCUCCUGUUCUCAACUCAUCUCCCACUUCAAAGGAAUAUCCCAUCCUAUUACUUGGGGUGCUAUGUGUUCAGCAAAGUAAAGAAUAUCUGUAGGUCUAACUCAUAUUGCAACUCUAUUACAAUUUUCUUAUAUAAUGUGUACUAUGAAACAUGUAGUACAUAUAAAAAAAAGACUGAAAAAAAGGAGUGAAAUCUAAGAACCAGAGAACAUUAUCAAAUUUCUUGAGCUCACUCUGCCAAGACAAUAACUUCAUGAAUGUUUUAUAAUGAAGGAUGGACUGAAUAAUGAUCCAAAUAAAAUUUUAAUUUUCUUUCA